GGUUAAGCGACUAAGCGUACACGGUGGAUGCCCUGGCAGUCAGAGGCGAUGAAGGACGUGCUAAUCUGCGAUAAGCGUCGGUAAGGUGAUAUGAACCGUUAUAACCGGCGAUUUCCGAAUGGGGAAACCCAGUGUGAUUCGUCACACUAUCAUUAACUGAAUCCAUAGGUUAAUGAGGCGAACCGGGGGAACUGAAACAUCUAAGUACCCCGAGGAAAAGAAAUCAACCGAGAUUCCCCCAGUAGCGGCGAGCGAACGGGGAGCAGCCCAGAGCCUGAAUCAGUGUGUGUGUUAGUGGAAGCGUCUGGAAAGGCGUGCGAUACAGGGUGACAGCCCCGUACACAAAAAUGCACAUACUGUGAGCUCGAUGAGUAGGGCGGGACACGUGGUAUCCUGUCUGAAUAUGGGGGGACCAUCCUCCAAGGCUAAAUACUCCUGACUGACCGAUAGUGAACCAGUACCGUGAGGGAAAGGCGAAAAGAACCCCGGCGAGGGGAGUGAAAAAGAACCUGAAACCGUGUACGUACAAGCAGUGGGAGCACGCUUAGGCGUGUGACUGCGUACCUUUUGUAUAAUGGGUCAGCGACUUAUAUUCUGUAGCAAGGUUAACCGAAUAGGGGAGCCGAAGGGAAACCGAGUCUUAACUGGGCGUUAAGUUGCAGGGUAUAGACCCGAAACCCGGUGAUCUAGCCAUGGGCAGGUUGAAGGUUGGGUAACACUAACUGGAGGACCGAACCGACUAAUGUUGAAAAAUUAGCGGAUGACUUGUGGCUGGGGGUGAAAGGCCAAUCAAACCGGGAGAUAGCUGGUUCUCCCCGAAAGCUAUUUAGGUAGCGCCUCGUGAAUUCAUCUCCGGGGUAGAGCACUGUUUCGGCAAGGGGGUCAUCCCGACUUACCAACCCGAUGCAAACUGCGAAUACCGGAGAAUGUUAUCACGGGAGACACACGGCGGGUGCUAACGUCCGUCGUGAAGAGGGAAACAACCCAGACCGCCAGCUAAGGUCCCAAAGUCAUGGUUAAGUGGGAAACGAUGUGGGAAGGCCCAGACAGCCAGGAUGUUGGCUUAGAAGCAGCCAUCAUUUAAAGAAAGCGUAAUAGCUCACUGGUCGAGUCGGCCUGCGCGGAAGAUGUAACGGGGCUAAACCAUGCACCGAAGCUGCGGCAGCGACGCUUAUGCGUUGUUGGGUAGGGGAGCGUUCUGUAAGCCUGUGAAGGUGUGCUGUGAGGUAUGCUGGAGGUAUCAGAAGUGCGAAUGCUGACAUAAGUAACGAUAAAGCGGGUGAAAAGCCCGCUCGCCGGAAGACCAAGGGUUCCUGUCCAACGUUAAUCGGGGCAGGGUGAGUCGACCCCUAAGGCGAGGCCGAAAGGCGUAGUCGAUGGGAAACAGGUUAAUAUUCCUGUACUUGGUGUUACUGCGAAGGGGGGACGGAGAAGGCUAUGUUGGCCGGGCGACGGUUGUCCCGGUUUAAGCGUGUAGGCUGGUUUUCCAGGCAAAUCCGGAAAAUCAAGGCCGAGGCGUGAUGACGAGGCACUACGGUGCUGAAGCAACAAAUGCCCUGCUUCCAGGAAAAGCCUCUAAGCAUCAGGUAACAUCAAAUCGUACCCCAAACCGACACAGGUGGUCAGGUAGAGAAUACCAAGGCGCUUGAGAGAACUCGGGUGAAGGAACUAGGCAAAAUGGUGCCGUAACUUCGGGAGAAGGCACGCUGAUACGUAGGUGAAGCGACUUGCUCGUGGAGCUGAAAUCAGUCGAAGAUACCAGCUGGCUGCAACUGUUUAUUAAAAACACAGCACUGUGCAAACACGAAAGUGGACGUAUACGGUGUGACGCCUGCCCGGUGCCGGAAGGUUAAUUGAUGGGGUUAGCGCAAGCGAAGCUCUUGAUCGAAGCCCCGGUAAACGGCGGCCGUAACUAUAACGGUCCUAAGGUAGCGAAAUUCCUUGUCGGGUAAGUUCCGACCUGCACGAAUGGCGUAAUGAUGGCCAGGCUGUCUCCACCCGAGACUCAGUGAAAUUGAACUCGCUGUGAAGAUGCAGUGUACCCGCGGCAAGACGGAAAGACCCCGUGAACCUUUACUAUAGCUUGACACUGAACAUUGAGCCUUGAUGUGUAGGAUAGGUGGGAGGCUUUGAAGUGUGGACGCCAGUCUGCAUGGAGCCGACCUUGAAAUACCACCCUUUAAUGUUUGAUGUUCUAACGUGGACCCGUGAUCCGGGUUGCGGACAGUGUCUGGUGGGUAGUUUGACUGGGGCGGUCUCCUCCUAAAGAGUAACGGAGGAGCACGAAGGUUGGCUAAUCCUGGUCGGACAUCAGGAGGUUAGUGCAAUGGCAUAAGCCAGCUUGACUGCGAGCGUGACGGCGCGAGCAGGUGCGAAAGCAGGUCAUAGUGAUCCGGUGGUUCUGAAUGGAAGGGCCAUCGCUCAACGGAUAAAAGGUACUCCGGGGAUAACAGGCUGAUACCGCCCAAGAGUUCAUAUCGACGGCGGUGUUUGGCACCUCGAUGUCGGCUCAUCACAUCCUGGGGCUGAAGUAGGUCCCAAGGGUAUGGCUGUUCGCCAUUUAAAGUGGUACGCGAGCUGGGUUUAGAACGUCGUGAGACAGUUCGGUCCCUAUCUGCCGUGGGCGCUGGAGAACUGAGGGGGGCUGCUCCUAGUACGAGAGGACCGGAGUGGACGCAUCACUGGUGUUCGGGUUGUCAUGCCAAUGGCACUGCCCGGUAGCUAAAUGCGGAAGAGAUAAGUGCUGAAAGCAUCUAAGCACGAAACUUGCCCCGAGAUGAGUUCUCCCUGACCCUUUAAGGGUCCUGAAGGAACGUUGAAGACGACGACGUUGAUAGGCCGGGUGUGUAAGCGCAGCGAUGCGUUGAGCUAACCGGUACUAAUGAACCGUGAGGCUUAACCUU
rnacentral:rRNA from 1 species